GAGAGUUUCAGCCUGGAGAGGACCACCCUGCUGGAAGGGUGUCCUGGGAAUGAAGUCCACGUAGGUGAGAACACACACCAGGGAUAUGUAGCUGGAUGGACUCAGCAGCCCUUGGGGAAUAAAGCCAGCUCAACUCAGCUGUACUUCUCACCACGUGGCAAAGGAUGGACCAAAGGCUGGGAGCAACUGGGAGUGUCUGGGACUGUGCCCCAAGGAAGCCACACAAACUGUGUAGCCAGACAGUCUGUCUGGGAGGAGAAGGAAGGAAUUUAUCUACCAGCUCCCAUCUCUCAUGGACCAAAUUCUUCCCCACUGUACAUAACUCCAUAUCACUUUCAGAUUGCAUAAGUUGUCUGCUGUUCUUUCGGGAGAGGGCUUGAAGGUUGAUUUUAGUUCCCUGUAACUGGAGGUGACAUGUGAAAGCUCAAAGCUAUUGAAAAGUUGCAAAGGCUUCCACACACAACUGCAGUAGGGAGGGCGCAGGAAGUGGGUCAACGCUUUUGGAGGACUGGGUGAAGUUCAGGAUCCUGAGGCCCUACUUUUUGGUCGCCCAGGGUGAGAGCUGAAUGUAGGCUCCAACAGGAAGACGGCAUUGAAGCCUGGUUGCUUGUUACUACUCAGAAUGCCAUCUACAAAAGGAAAUUAUGUAAAAAGCAAUAAAGAACCCCUUUUGUUCUUGCAGGAGUCAGUGUUUCAUAACUCUUUCUGUGAUAUCGUCUGUAUAAGUUGAACCUCUAAAGAACCUUAUCUAAGUUGCCACGACCUUACUCAUUACCCUCAAGAAAGAUGAACAAUUUAAAGGGGGAAAAAAGGAAGUGAAAAAAAUGGCGGAUACGAGGCAGAACUAACCUGCAGCUUCCACUCGAAGGGACAGAGCAGAGUGUGGAGACCCACAACUGGAACUUUUUCUCCAAGAACUACCACAGGAACAUACCAAGAAAGCCAAGAGAAUCCACAGAACCUUUGGAGGAAGUGGUUUGUCACUGCAGGCUCUGUGGGACAGCUGAGGAACUGCCAGCGUCCUCUUUCCUGUGUUGGUCACAUCCUCAAAUGCCUUUGGGGCUGGAUGAACAGUCGGCUUGUGGUGUCCUGAUGAGUGGCGACCUUCUCAGCGAGGACUGACAACCACACGGGUUCCUACUUCAUGACCAGACCAGGGUCACCAUGGAGACAUUUCUCAUUGGAUCAGCUUAUUAUGCCAUAGGAAACAUCUGAUUGAAAUGGAACUCACUGACCUAAAGCUCCUAAAAAAAAAUUUUCUAGGUCAGUGACAGACAAGUUGGCUGCUUCAAAAAAGGUAUUUACUGUAAUUCUGGAGAUCAUAUUGGGUCGCAAACUUGCUGCCUGUGAGUGCAAUCCAGCCCACAGGUUCAUUCUGUGUGACAGGCACUGUGUUUAAAAGGUAAGAAUUGGAGGGCCUUUAGGUGGGAAGUGCCCUCUCCAGUUUACAGCGAGCCUCAUCAUUUCCUAUUGUCCUAGACUUAGCCGCAUGACACAUUACAUGUCACCUGCCAGGCCUCUAAAAACGUGAAAAUCAUGACCUUCAGGCAUUCUGUUCAUGGUCCAUCCAUGUGCCCUGUGCCCUAGGUUUGACUUGAGGUUUCUCACCGAUGCUUCCCACAGCUGGGCCUUGUUCCUCACAAAGAGUUUCUGGUGAAACCAGAGUCAUAAAGACUGGAUUAAGAGGAAAGUCCAAGGAAUCCCAGGAUCUAAGAGCUUGCAGGAAAACUUAAGAAUUUGGGAUCCUGCAACCCCUGAUGAGCAACCUGAGACACAGAAAAGGGAAAUGCCUUGGAAAGGUCAGCCCCAGAAGGAAGAGAGCAGAGAGGGAAACCCAGGACUAGUGAUUCCCCAUCCUGUAUGCUUCACCCACCACCCCACGCAGCUGGCCUGAAUGAUUGGUGUAGCCCUUCCCCACAUUCCUAGAGAGUGUGUCUUUUACAAAGCCACCGUCCACACAUACAGAGUGGCACCAGCUAUGCAA
rnacentral:lncRNA from 1 species